ensembl:lncRNA
CGCGUGUCAGCAGCGGGGGAGGGGCUUUCAUUUCUUUCACACACACAGGCGUAGAAAUGUGCACGAGCAGUUUGGGGGCUUCAGGGGUGCUCUGGGAAGGGCGCCUCCGUGUGAGCGUGGGGGCGCACUGUGAUCAGCUCACCCAGGGCCCAGAGCCGCGGGGACGCAGGCGCCAUGCCUGCCAGCGACCUUGACCCUGUCUCCCGGGAUUGACGUCUGUCCUUGCAGGUUCCUGAGAACAGAGUGACGCCUCAGCAAACUUUCCAGAAAAAAAAAAAUCCCAAACAGAUCGGGCCCCCCCCCCCGACCUGCUGACGCCAGCUACGUGACCUUGACCACAGCACCACGCCCAUAUCUGUACAACGGGGUGCAUUGCAGCUUCCCGGGGUCUCUCCCAGCUUGGCUUUAUUUUUCUUUCUUCAGAGAGCAAAUAGGAUGAAAAGCAGAAGUGGCCCUGAAAAGUGUGCACCUGUGAGAGGUGGCCGCGACUCCUCCCUGGCUGGCCGUCGGGAGCAGGAGCUGGAAGGAGCAGGUGACGUCGGCUGCGCUCAGGGCACUGGGCAGAGAGGAGGGGCGUCCGCACUCAAGCCACAGCCUGCUGGACGGCGGAUCAAGUUGGCUGGGGUGGGACAGAGAGCUGGGUCCUGGAGGAGAACACAGGGCUCAGAGGCCAAGGUGUGGGCGCCGGGAGCACACACGGCAGAGGGCCGAGCCGAGGAGAAAUCCAGACCCGCCUGUCUCACCGGUGAAGGCAGCCAGGGAGGACUUCCCGGAGAAGGUGACUUAACUGAGUUGUGUGCGCACAUUCCCCCAGCAGAGGAGAGCGGAGAGAAAACCAGAACGUUGCAGCCGAAGCCCAGAGCCAGGAAAAGGCAGGGAUGCUCGGGGGAGCUGCUGGUAUCCUACGGGGCCAGCGCACGCCAGAGUAGACGUGAGGGAAUGCUGGGAGCUGCCGGGCCUCCGACCCUGACGCUGCCGGGCAGAGGGCGGCUAGGGAGGGAAGGAGCUGCCCAGAGCCAGGCCGGCCCUGGGUUCACCUGGGGUGGAGGGAGCGAGUCUGUGAGCUGGGCAGGCAGGGGGAGGUGGCUGGCACCCUCCAACAAAGCGGGGUUCACUUGUCCCCCAGUGCACUGGGCCCGGGGCUCCGUCAGGUUCUCAUGGCAUCCGUCCCCGUCCCCCCCCCCCCCCACCCGCCCAGGGCAGCAGCCCUGUUGAGUAAGUCAGUAACAAAGCCACCACCAUCUCGGACUGUCACUGCACCAGGAGAUAAAGAAACAUGACGGGUGAGCAGUAGAGGUGGGGGCAGUCUGGGAAGGCUUCCUGAGGAGGUGACAAUUAAAUGGGAUCAGAAAGACAAGAGGGAGCAAGCACUGCCAAGAGCUGAGGACAGGGACAGAGCCAGGGCGGAGGGAGAGCUUCCCUGACGCAGAGAGCAGCGGCCCCUGCCCUGCCCCGUCAGCUGUGAGUGAGGAGUGGGGGCGGCGGCUGGGCCAGGACCUGCAGGACAGGAGCUGCUUCUAUCCCAGACCCACAGGAAGCUGGGGGAGAGCUUGUUUUUUUUUUUUUUUUAAGGUUUAUUCAUUUAUCUGAAAGGCAGAGUUACAGAGAGAGAGCGAGAGAGAGAGAGACAGAGAGAGAGAGAGAGACAGAGAGAGAGACAGAGAGAGAGAGAGGUCUUCCAUCCAUUGGUUUACUCCCCAAAUGACCGCAACGUCCAGAGCUGAGCUGAUCUGAAGCCAGGAGCCAGGAGCUUCCUCCGGGUCUCCCGCAUGGGUGCAGGGGCCCAAGGACUUGAGCCAUCCUCUACUGCUUUCCCAGGCCACAGCAGAGAGCCGGAUCAGAAGUGGAUCAGCUGGGACUCGAACCAGCGCCCAUAUGGGAUGCCGGCGCUGCAGGCGACAGCUUUACCUGCUACACCACAGUGCUGGCCCCCAUGGGAGAGCUUUAAGAAGAAAGGUGUGAUCUGAUGCUUUAGUGCCUGUGUGUGUUUUUAAUUAAAAAGAUUAUUUAUUCAAGAGGCAGAGAGAGAAAGACAGCACUUCCGUCUGUUGGCUCACUCCAAAUGCCUGCAGGAGGGGCUGGGAACUCCCUCCAGGGCUCCCACGUGGGCACAGGCACCAGGCGCCGGAGCCACGCCCGCUGAUCCCAGGGUCUGCAAUGCCAGGGCGCUGGCGUCCCGAGCCAGAGCCGGGCUCAGACCCGGGCUCUCUGAUCU